GCGUGAUCUCGGCUCACUGCUAUCUCCGCCUCCCGGGUUUGAGUGAUUCUCCUGCUUCAGCCUCUCGAGUAGCUGGGAUUACAGUCACUUGCCACCGUACCCAGCUGAUUUUUGUAUUUUUAGUAGAGACAGGGUUUUACCAUGUUGGCCAGGCUGGUCUCUAACUCCUGACCUCAAAUGAUCUACCCUCCUGGCCUCCCAAAGUGCUGGAAUUACAGGAUUGAGCCACCACACCUGGACUGCCAUCCAAGAUUGGGCAACUGAUAUUCAGUCCCAUGCACUACUUGAGCCAGUCUUGACUGAAACAGGAAUCACAUCAAAAGAUGAGGCAACACAAUCAGGGGCAGCUUGCGUCUAAAAGAG
rnacentral:lncRNA from 1 species